GUUAUAAUUAGUGGCUCAUUGGAGUUUUUUUUUAUUUGUUUACCAAUCAAUUACUUAUUAGGAAUUUAGUGAUAUUUGUUUAGUAAUGUUUAACAUAUUAAUUAAUUUAAUUUCGUAGGUUGUGAUUUUGGUGGUGAGAUUUUAGAGAGUACUUUGCAUCAAAACUUCUAUAACUAUCAAUCACACAUUUGAGAUGGUUAGGUCACUAUUAUAGGGGAAAUGCUGCCCGAUAUUAUUUAGGAUAAUAAACGAUUAGUUGAGAACGGGCAUUACUUGAUUGAACAUUCGAGUCCCAGGCAUUACUUGAGAACGCUAACAAGCACAUCAUAUACAGAGGCACAAAUUGAUGAGUUGCGACAAGAAUGGGCG